UUAAAUUUGUUUACAUUAUUACUGUUUAUACAGGCAUAAUGUUGUGGAUCACACAUCUUGUUGUUAGAUAAGUGAGAUAGGUUACAUCAAGUCUUCGAGUUUCAUACUAAGUUGAAGUCGUGAUUGUAGAGCACCUUUUAUAAGAAUAGUUUAUCAGAUUUCAUCAUACUGUUUAAAGUACCAGUUUAAAUUCGUUUUCAUUGUCUAUUGAAUACUCUUACAGUCAUGAUGAUGUACAUGACACAGCAUGUUGUCUCAUAAGGGAUAUAAGUUAAAUCAAGUUUGUGAGAUUCAAA